rnacentral:rRNA from 1 species
UACGGGAGGCAGCAGUGAGGAAUAUUGGUCAAUGGACGAGAGUCUGAACCAGCCAAGUAGCGUGCAGGAUGACGGCCCUAUGGGUUGUAAACUGCUUUUAUAAGGGAAUAAAGUGAGUCUCGUGAGACUUUUUGCAUGUACCUUAUGAAUAAGGACCGGCUAAUUCCGUGCCAGCAGCCGCGGUAAUACGGAAGGUCCGGGCGUUAUCCGGAUUUAUUGGGUUUAAAGGGAGCGUAGGCCGGAGAUUAAGCGUGUUGUGAAAUGUAGACGCUCAACGUCUGCACUGCAGCGCGAACUGGUUUCCUUGAGUACGCACAAAGUGGGCGGAAUUCGUGGUGUAGCGGUGAAAUGCUUAGAUAUCACGAAGAACUCCGAUUGCGAAGGCAGCUCACUGGAGCGCAACUGACGCUGAAGCUCGAAAGUGCGGGUAUCGAACAGGAUUAGAUACCCUGGUAGUCCGCACGGUAAACGAUGGAUGCCCGCUGUUGGUCUGAAUAGGUCAGCGGCCAAGCGAA